GGACCGUGAGAGAGGACCUGACCUGGAAUACCAGCCAAAUUCCUCUCCAGUCUAACCCAGUCUCUUCGUUCAGUGAGUUUAAAUCUAAAGCUCUGCAGGGUCAACUAGGACUUGGAAAGAUGCUUCAGAAAUCAACAUGCGAAGGAAAGCUCCACCCCAACAGCAAUAACUCCCUUACCCUACUAGAAUCUGGAAGAAAAGAUCGGAAUUAAAACCAAAAGACUACAUUUAGACAUUGCUUCCAUCAACAGGAGGGAACCUAAAAUGGGAUGCUUUGAAAACUCG